UACGGAGGGUGCAAGCGUUAAUCGGAAUUACUGGGCGUAAAGGGUGCGUAGGCGGUUCGUUAAGUCUGUCGUGAAAUCCCCGGGCUCAACCUGGGAAUGGCGAUGGAUACUGGCGAGCUAGAGUGUGUCAGAGGAUGGUGGAAUUCCCGGUGUAGUGGUGAAAUGCGUAGAUAUCGAGAGGAACACCAGUGGCGAAGGCGGCUCACUGGGCACCACCUGACGCUGAGGCGCGAAAGCGUGGGGAGCGAACCGG
rnacentral:rRNA from 1 species